AUUGAACGCUGGCGGUAUGCUUAACACAUGCAAGUCGAACGGUAACAGGCCUUCGGGCGCUGACGAGUGGCGGACGGGUGAGUAACGCGUAGGAAUCUGCCUCAUAGUGGGGGACAACGUGGGGAAACUCACGCUAAUACCGCAUACGCCCUACGGGGGAAAGCGGGGAGUCUUCGGACCUCGCGCUAUGAGAUGAGCCUGCGUUAGAUUAGCUAGUUGGUAGGGUAAAGGCCUACCAAGGCGACGAUCUAUAGCUGGUCUGAGAGGACGAUCAGCCACACUGGGACUGAGACACGGCCCAGACUCCUACGGGAGGCAGCAGUUGGGGAAUAUUGGACAAUGGGGCGCAAGCCUGAUCCAGCAAUAACCGCGUGUGUGAAGAAGGCCUUAGGUUGUAAAGUCACUUUCAAUUAGGGA
rnacentral:rRNA from 1 species